GCUUAUUGCAAAGAGUAGGGGGUUCUCUGGUGUCCUGACAAAAUUGCCAACCCAGUUCUCUUCAUCUAGCCAUCUAAUCAUCCCCCAGUCUCAGUGAUUCCCUCCCUCUCCACUUCAAGAUGAUAUGUGGUGAAUGUUCUGGCGCAAAAUGGUUGCCAUGCAUCACCCAGGGGGGCUAAACAUUGGUGGUAGUUGAGAUAUGUUUGCCACUCGCUGUUUCUGGAGCAGCUGGAGGCCGCAGACUCGACCGUCUGCUGCUCGUCUGCAGAGUUUCCAUCCUCGUCUCCAUAGCAGAGCCUCAUUUUGAGUCUCACACCAACAAACCACCUGAAUGAGAGUCACAGCAUAGUUAUCAAUACGCAGUAAAAAAAGUUGGAGUUCAGAGUUCAGUUCAGACAGCAAGGCGUGAAAAUUCCUGUUCGGACUUCGUCAUCACAGAGUGAAAUCAGAAGAAAGUUCGUCUUUGUUUCUUUUCAGCUGGACUGGAACAAAAACAGGUUCUCUGCUUUGUCUCGACGCCGCACCUGCAGAGAGAAGGAUUCAGCCAAGUCUCCUCCUCACAUUCACCUCUUAUUGAGCUUAUCUAGAAAGCGAAGUUGAUAUUUCCACUCAACAAUAGGAAGGAAAUAACACUUCACCUGCUUUGUUAUGAAACCAGAUUUUUCUAUUUUGGGCUCAAAACCUGAUAAAGCAGAGAGUUAAAACUCUCGUCUCCCAGCAAUCAUCUUCAUAUACAACUAAACUGUUUUCCCAGUUAUGUUGUCUUGGCAGAUUAAUAAACUGUUUGUUCAGGUUUGUUCAUGUUAGUGAAAGAUGUUACCAGAGUCUGAACACAAGCAGAAACAGUUUAAUAACGUUUAAUGAUAACAUCUUUUAUUAGUGGAGAUUGUGCUGCAAGAUCAGUUCAAACAUUUCACUCAUAUGUUCAGUGUCAACAUUUUUGCAACUUAAUAUGAAACUCAAAACAUUAAUA